rnacentral:rRNA from 1 species
ACCCGAAACCCGGUGAUCUAGCCAUGGGCAGGUUGAAGGUUGGGUAACACUAACUGGAGGACCGAACCGACUAAUGUUGAAAAAUUAGCGGAUGACUUGUGGCUGGGGGUGAAAGGCCAAUCAAACCGGGAGAUAGCUGGUUCUCCCCGAAAGCUAUUUAGGUAGCGCCUCGUGAACUCAUCUUCGGGGGUAGAGCACUGUUUCGGCUAGGGGGCCAUCCCGGCUUACCAACCCGAUGCAAACUACGAAUACCGAAGAAUGUUAUCACGGGAGACACACGGCGGGUGCUAACGUCCGUCGUGAAGAGGGAAACAACCCAGACCGCCAGCUAAGGUCCCAAAGUCAUGGUUAAGUGGGAAACGAUGUGGGAAGGCACAGACAGCCAGGAUGUUGGCUUAGAAGCAGCCAUCAUUUAAAGAAAGCGUAAUAGCUCACUGGUCGAGUCGGCCUGCGCGGAAGAUGUAACGGGGCUAAACCAUGCACCG